UCUUAGCCCUGAUUGCAGCGGCAUCCUUUUGUGUGAUUGCGAUGGCAGAACAGCGAAAAUGGUAAAUUAACGUUGUCCGCAAUCACAAAAAAGAUAUAGCGAAAGCAGGUAGAAAA
rnacentral:sRNA from 1 species